CCUACGGGUGGCAGCAGUGAGGAAUAUUGGUCAAUGGGCGCGAGCCUGAACCAGCCAAGUAGCGUGAAGGAUGACUGCCCUAUGGGUUGUAAACUUCUUUUAUACAGGAAUAAAGUGAGGCACGUGUGCUUUUUUGUAUGUACUUUAUGAAUAAGGAUCGGCUAACUCCGUGCCAGCAGCCGCGGUAAUACGGAGGAUCCGAGCGUUAUCCGGAUUUAUUGGGUUUAAAGGGAGCGUAGGCGGGUUGUUAAGUCAGUUGUGAAAGUUUGGGGCUCAACCGUAAAACUGCAAUUGAUACUGGCAGCCUAGAGUACAGUUGAGGUAGGCGGAAUGCGUGGUGUAGCGGUGAAAUGCUUAGAUAUCACGAAGAACUCCGAUUGCGAAGGCAGCCUACGAAACUGCCACUGACGUUGAUGCUCGAAAGUGUGGGUAUCAAACAGGAUUAGAUACCCCUGUAGUC
rnacentral:rRNA from 1 species